UCACAGUGAGGUGUCUAAGAAGGAGGGACCACAGCCCUUCAGCUUUCCAGGACAAGUGGAGGUCUGGGCCCUCAGCCACUCUGAACAGCCCUGUCCCCAGGGGUGAGGAGACCCAGCCGGGGGUCUCCAUGGAGCCUGUGGGAGGGGCCAGCAAGCCUGGGUGGGGACCACGGGGGAGAGGAGACCCACAGCACCCUGCCCGCCCCCCAGGGGACCAGAAAACUUCCAAGGAUUGAUUGACACUUUACAAGGAUCAAACACUUCGCUUGUGGCACUCCGGGCUACAGCCAGAUUAUUGCCCUAUAAAUGAGUAAAGAAGCAUGUUGACUGAUUCACGACCAGGAGGAAUCCAGCCCAAUACAAGUAAACAGGCGAUUACAAUGCAGCCCCAAAACUCUUAAUAGAUAGAUCCAUGGGACAGAAGAGCAAGCCCAGAAACACACACUAAAACCCACUGGAAUUUAGCAUGUGAUAGAAGUGGCCUCUCACAUCGGGGUGUUAAAGAUGAGCGUGUUCAUGGAUGGUGUCAGAAUAAAUGGGAAGCCAUGUGGAGAGCAAUAAAGCCGGAUCUAUUCCUCACCAGAACACCAGGAGAAACUCCAAGUGGAUCCAAGAUUUUGAUGUAGAAAUUAAAACCAUAAAAGAA